CAGAUUUUGCCUAACACAGGAACACUCUGUGGAAGAGUACAAGGAAGAAUGACAUGUUAUUCUUCUAAAUCAAGGCCAUUUGUGCACACAAGGAUCACAGAAAUAUGAAACACCAAAUAUGUCAAGCCAGUGCAGAAUUGGUAAUCAAGACAGAGCACCUUCAAGAAUUCUACCUGCUGAGAACUGACUUGGCACUCAGCUCUUGGAGACACCCUGCAUGGCACUGCUCUCUGACUGAUGCACAGGCUGCAAUACUAUUUCAUGCCAAAGCAAGCACAGACAUCCAUUAAGUGUCCCUUUCUGACUUCGCCAGAUAACGGGU